UACUUUUUCAAAUGGUAUGCCAUUAUGGGGGUAAUUCUCAUUCCUGGGCUACCACACCGUCUCAAAGGUAACAUUGCUAAUCUGGCAAAUUUCAAUUUGAAAAUGGAACGUUCUAUAUUUGACCCUGUAACUUUCCAAAACACCAUAAAACCUGUUAAUGGGGGGUACUGUUGUACUCGUGAGACAUCGCUGAUUACAAAUAUGUGCAUUUUUUGCAGUAAAACCUAACAGUAUUAUGACAUUCACAGCUAAAAUGUCAGACG
rnacentral:lncRNA from 1 species